GGGUGUCCUGAUGCAGGAGGUGCUCCACAAGGGGCACCGUGGAACAAACACACUGUAACACAGCGUUCAAGUAGCAGAAGUUCCCAGUGUUGUCCAAUCCACACACACCUGGUCGAUCCCAUCCUUGAUAUCUGGCUGCUGAAGAGCUCAGUCGAUUUCCCGUCACAACACUGCUUUUUGUGUUUUUUCUAUCGGAGUAAGAAGAAAAGAUUUGAACUAGGUACUCUCUUAGAAAAUGUCAUGAUUAACAAAAGAAUUCAAAAAUAUAGAAAACUAUAAUCAGUAUCGGUAUUGGCAACACCUUUCCAGUAUUGUACAGUAUUAACUUGGUCUCAGAUACCAAAAUUUGCGGUAUCGCCCACCUCAAGAAAGAACCGCAGCAAACCACUCUUGGCAGUGAAGCCGUUCAGUCAAGUCAUUGAAAGGGAUGUCUGGACGGAUUCAGGAUCAAGAUCAGCGCCCAAUCCAGUGUAUUUUGAAGAUCAGAUAUCGGCCUCCACCAGAACGGUCCAAUCCGGUUACCGUAUCACAUCCAUAGCUGAGGGCCACACAACACGGUUCACUUCUCCUGAGAAGGGAAGCAGAGGCAUUACCUCAUGGAACCACAUCCCGUCUUGUUUACUUCCUGCUAUGAAACUGCGUCACCCUUGGGAACAACACAUUACUGG